rnacentral:lncRNA from 1 species
GGGGGUGGUCUUUGAUGUUCUGAUUAAACUUCAGGCUUGGUAGGAACUGUGUCCCUGCAUCUCCACAGUGUAGACUACACAAGUGCCCUCUCGCAGCUGUAGUACUAGUAUGUGUCUAGUAUGUAUUCCUGCAACUUCCCCUAGGGACUGUGUGGGGUUUUGUUCUUGUUUGUUUGGUUUGGUUCCCCCGCCGCUGUUCUUUUCCCCAGCUGGUUUGGGUUUCACCCAAUGGUCUAAGGGCCCCAGCUACCAAUUUUUAUUGUUUUUCCCCUACAGAUCAAGGUUUGUUCUCUACAGGGAAGAUGGGGGAGACACUUCUCUGCAAAUUUCCACAGCAGCUGGUGUUUCCCUCCCCCACCACAAGGAAAGCUUCUUCCAGAUUUUCCUCAGUCUUCUCUGUGAGCACCUGAAAUAACUCCUGAAUAUGCCACCUGUGAGAUAUGAGAAGGCUACAGAGAAGAAAUCUUUUUACCCCAUUUCCAUCAGUUUGAUAUUAGCAUCAAAGCAAAGCUCUGAUGAAAGCACAGAUACUCACAUUCAAAAAGAUGGCAUGAUCCAACAUCAUCUCACUGGUCACUCCCUUACACCCUUUCUCCCAGGAGGAACCCUGAGAGCACCACCUCUUUGGAAGAGCCAGGACACAGUUUGCAAACCACUGCCACAAAAUGUAAACGUAUAGAAUUUGAGACUACGUGCCAUCUUCUAAAGGUGGAACUCUUUAUUGGAAUUCGGAAACAAAACGAGAAUGGCUCUAAUAAUUUUCUGUCUUCUUUUAACAGUAAUUUCAUCUAAUUUCAAUAAAGAUUUGAAAAAGUGUAUACAUUCAGAAAAAGAUGAUAAGAUGUGAAAAUAUUUGAGUAUUGUACCAGUUAAAAGAGUUAUUAUUGAUUGCUUAUUCACUAUAAAUGGAGCUACACUCUAGUUUGAUAAUUCAGAAGAAAAAUGUGUUGACCCUGCCGCUCAAUAAUAAAAUAAAUAACAACAAAAGAACAAGAAGAAUCAUUUAAUGUCAGACUAUACUUUGAUAAAGUUGAUGAUGCUGAAACUUUGACGGCUCCUGUAUUUAAGGAUGGUAUUUUACUUCUCUGAAAUCUUGAAGGCACUGGCCAAUACAGAUCGAAUAGGUAGUGAUGCUUAGCUGCAGUGCUCCAGUAUCCAGCAUCCUUAUUUUUUAACUCGUACUGCUUUAUUUUAGUGCUGAGAUUCC